AGCAGUCCUACCUGUCGCCUCCUGAAGUGAAUGGAAAGGAACGUCCCAGAACACUGAAGUCUGGAGUGGGUGCUGUAUGACAGAGUCGGGAAAUUAACAUCUACCAAGUUCCUUCUCUCUGCCAGGGUCCCAAGGAUAGGGACACCUGGACCAGAGAACCAAGUGCCUGGGCUUUGGGGACAACGUAUUGCUGCUUAGAAUCAGGCACCGUCUGUACAGCAGGAACUAUGGGAACUCCGCCUCCCGACCCAGCAUGGUGUUCCAAGCCAGGGAAGAACAUAUAUAAUUCUUGCCCGCCAACAACCAGAGCGCAGUAAAGUGUGAAGGCCAGCUCCUCUAGUGAGAGGAAGCCACAGCAGUAAGAAAAAUCUGAGGAGGUACCAGAGUAUCCAGGGGCCAAAGAAUCCUCGAGGACAUGUGUUUUAUUGGGUUCUAAGAAGCUACAGCAGAUGAAAAAUGAACGCAAUAAAAUGAGAUCCAUGUUUGCGAGGCUCUGUCUACACCAUGGAAUAGAAAGAAGACUUGAAUGGAGGCUGAAUGACCAGAGCAGAACAUCUAUCCUAAAAUCUGCCCUGUGUCUGGUUUUCAAGACUUCUAUCACUUACAGUCUCUAGUGCCACAUUCCAUUUUUCCGCAAGCUUGGAAAUAAAAGAAUGACAGAGCUGAUACCCUCAUUUAUCAGGUGAGCAAACUGGGGCCUACGGAGAGUCAUUUGCUCCAGGCCACUCGGUUGGUUUGGUGCUUGGCACUUGAGCUGCUGUCCUGCAGGUGGUAGGUCGGACUUUCUUUCUAAUGCACCCAGUGCCACCAAGCCUCUUGACUAUUCAGGUGGUCAACGGGACUGCCAGUGAGGGUUGGCACUGGAACGCUCAGAUGUUCCCAUUACGGGUACCAUGGGCUGCUUUGCCAGUAUGGCUGACACUACUUCAUCCGCUUCCUUUCACUCCAGGAAGCCCACAGGCUUCUAACUGCAUUCAGAUAUGGGGGAUUUGGGCCAUCAGGCACUUUAAUUAGUCUGUAUGGAAAAAAAUGAA